CGACCUGAGCUCAGGCAAGGUUACCCGCUGAACUUAAGCAUAUCAUUAAGCGGUGGAAAAGAAACUAACCAGGAUUCCCCUAGUAACGGCGAGCGAACCGGGAAUAGCCCAACUUGAAAAUCUCCCCUUGGAGAAUUGUAGUCUACAGAAGCGCCCUCAUGGGCUGGCGGAACUCAAGUCGGAUCGAAUGCCGCGUCAGAGAGGGUGAUAACCCCGUCGGUUCCUGCCUAGUCCUCUCACGAGGUGCUUUCCACGAGUCGGGUUGUUUGGGAAUGCAGCCCUAAUUGGAGGAAA
rnacentral:ncRNA from 1 species